AGUGAACGCUGGCGGUAGGCCUAACACAUGCGAGUCGAACGGCAGCACAGUAAGAGCUUGCUCUUACGGGUGGCGAGUGGCGGACGGGUGAGGAAUAUAUCGGAAUCUACUUUUUCGUGGGGGAUAACGUAGGGAAACUUACGCUAAUACCGCAUACGACCUACGGGUGAAAGCAGGGGAUCUUCGGACCUUGCGCGAUUGAAUGAGCCGAUGUCGGAUUAGCUAGUUGGCGGGGUAAAGGCCCACCAAGGCGACGAUCCGUAGCUGGUCUGAGAGGAUGAUCAGCCACACUGGAACUGAGACACGGUCCAGACUCCUACGGGAGGCAGCAGUGGGGAAUAUUGGACAAUGGGCGCAAGCCUGAUCCAGCCAUACCGCGUGGGUGAAGAAGGCCUUCGGGUUGUAAAGCCCUUUUGUUGGGAAAGAAAAGCAGCAGGUUAAUACCCCGCUGUUCUGACGGUACCCAAAGAAUAAGCACCGGCUAACUUCGUG
rnacentral:rRNA from 1 species